AUUGAACGCUGGCGGCAUGCUUUACACAUGCAAGUCGAACGGUAACAGGGUGCUUGCACCGCUGACGAUUGGCGAACGGGUGAUUAAUACUUCGUAAUGUACCCAGUAAUGGGGGAUAACGCUUCGAAAGGAGUGCUAAUACCGCAUACGCCCCGAGGUGUAAAGUGGGGGACAGCAAGGCCCUACAUGAGUGGAGCAGGCGAUGGCUGAUUAGCUAGUUGGUGAGGAAAAGGCGUACCAAGGCGACGAGCAGUAGCGGGUCUUAGAGGAGGAUCCGCCACACUGAAACUGAGACGCGGUCCAGACUCAUACGGGAGGCAGCAGUGGAGAAUCUUGGACAAUGGGCGAGAGCCUGAUCCAGAAAUGCCGCGUGCGUGAAGAAGGCCUUCGGGUUGUAAAGCGCUUUUGUCUGGAGCAAAUCCUGGCCUUUAAUACAGGUCGGGGAUGAGAGUACCAGAAGAAUAAGCACCGGCUAACUACGUGCCAGCAGCCGCCGUAAGAC
rnacentral:rRNA from 1 species